rnacentral:rRNA from 1 species
UACGGGGGGGGCAAGGCGUUGUUCGGAAUACUGGGCGUAAAGCGUGCGCAGGCGGCGCGUUAAGACAGGUGUGAAAGCCCCGAGCUUAACUUGGGAAUUGCGCUUGUGACUGGCGUGCUGGAGUGUGGCAGAGGGAGGUGGAAUUCCGACGUGUAGCAGUGAAAUGCGUAGAGAUGUGGAGGAACACCGAUGGCGAAGGCGGCCACCUGGACGGUAACUGGACGCUGAGACGCGAAAGCAUGGGGAGCGAACAGG